GCUCAACACUAAGUACUAGUGCCGCAGGAGUAAAUGCGAGGCCUCCUGUUGUUCUGGUACUUACUAUAGGGC
rfam:Lingula anatina scaffold174, whole genome shotgun sequence.